ACGGAGGGGGCUAGCGUUAUUCGGAAUUACUGGGCGUAAAGCGCGCGUAGGUGGCCAAUCAAGUCAGAGGUGAAAUCCCAGGGCUCAACCCUGGAACUGCCUUUGAAACUGAAUGGCUAGAAUCUUGGAGAGGUGAGUGGAAUUCCGAGUGUAGAGGUGAAAUUCGUAGAUAUUCGGAAGAACACCAGUGGCGAAGGCGACUCACUGGACAAGUAUUGACACUGAGGUGCGAAAGCGUGGGGAGCAAACAGG
rnacentral:rRNA from 1 species